rnacentral:rRNA from 2 species
UACGAGUUCUCGUUGAUGAUCGGUGCUUGCACCGAGAUUCAACAUGGAACGAGUGGCGGACGGGUGAGUAACACGUGGGUAACCUGCCCUUAAGUGGGGGAUAACAUUUGGAAACAGAUGCUAAUACCGCAUAGAUCCAAGAACCGCAUGGUUCUUGGCUGAAAGAUGGCGUAAGCUAUCGCUUUUGGAUGGACCCGCGGCGUAUUAGCUAGUUGGUGAGGUAAUGGCUCACCAAGGCGAUGAUACGUAGCCGAACUGAGAGGUUGAUCGGCCACAUUGGGACUGAGACACGGCCCAAACUCCUACGGGAGGCAGCAGUAGGGAAUCUUCCACAAUGGACGCAAGUCUGAUGGAGCAACGCCGCGUGAGUGAAGAAGGCUUUCGGGUCGUAAAACUCUGUUGUUGGAGAAGAAUGGUCGGCAGAGUAACUGUUGUCGGCGUGACGGUAUCCAACCAGAAAGCCACGGCUAACUACGUGCCAGCAGCCGCGGUAAUACGUAGGUGGCAAGCGUUAUCCGGAUUUAUUGGGCGUAAAGCGAGCGCAGGCGGUUUUUUAAGUCUGAUGUGAAAGCCCUCGGCUUAACCGAGGAAGCGCAUCGGAAACUGGGAAACUUGAGUGCAGAAGAGGACAGUGGAACUCCAUGUGUAGCGGUGAAAUGCGUAGAUAUAUGGAAGAACACCAGUGGCGAAGGCGGCUGUCUGGUCUGUAACUGACGCUGAGGCUCGAAAGCAUGGGUAGCGAACAGGAUUAGAUACCCUGGUAGUCCAUGCCGUAAACGAUGAAUGCUAGGUGUUGGAGGGUUUCCGCC